GGAUGGGUCGGAAAGCUGGGCUGUACAUAAACUCAAAGAAGUUUGGCGGCGUCGUUAAGCCGUGCAUGCUGGAGAUGACGGCCUUCCUCAACUGCCUCGCCUUGAACAAGCAGAUCGAUCAAAGUAAUUCCAUAUCUAGCGAUGAUUAUCUCAGCACCAAUUGGCAGUGAGAGGCAGAAGGGGAAUGCUGACACCGCGUUCCAUGCUCCUUCAGACAUGGAGUCCAGGCGCGCAUGGCUCCGUCGCCCCGCGCGCUCCAUUGGAGGAGCCCCCGCCCCGCGCGUGGCCGCCUUGGAGUUGGAGCGCUCCGGCCCCACGCCCUUGUCUGCUCUGGCGGCGGGUUCCUCCUGGCCGCGAUGAUGCCCGAGGCCGGCCGCUACACCCACAAGAAGGAUGAUGGCAUUUGCAACAGUGAGCUGCAGGGUUUUGCUUGCUCGCUUGCUUACUUUGCUGCCUGUCUGUAACCUGGUCGAUUUUGUUUUCUGCUACCAUUCUCAGUGUCAUGAAAAUGGAGAUGCAUGUCUAACUGCUUCACAUGCUUAAUCUAAUUUAAUGUGUAAAAUGGCAGGCAAAUGCUGCUGCAAAGAUAUUAGUGGUAUAUGUGCAUGCAUUUGACAAUAUGAUUUCACAUGUGUGUUUGAACAUUAACCAUACAGAUUAUGGUACUGUUAAUUUGGUGCA